CUCAGGAAACCACUUUCUUUGCUCAUCCAUAAG
rnacentral:miRNA from 1 species